rnacentral:rRNA from 1 species
AAAAAGUCGUUGGUAGCCAAGGGUUGGUGUUACACCCAUGGGAUCCGGUCCGAGUUUACAACUCCCAAACCCAAUCACUUACAUAUUGGGCUGUUGCCUCGGCGGGGUCACGCCCCGGGUGCGUCGCAGCCCCGUUUCCAGGCGCCCGCCGGAGGGACCAACCAAACUCUUUCUGUAGUCCAAACGCGGACGUUAUUUCUUUCAGCUCUGAGCAUUUAUUCAAAAUGAAUCAAAACUUUCAACAACGGAUCUCUUGGUUCUGGCAUCGAUGAAGAACGCAGCGAAAUGCGAUAAGUAAUGUGAAUUGCAGAAUUCAGUGAAUCAUCGAAUCUUUGAACGCACAUUGCGUUUGCCAGUAUUCUGGCGGGCAUGCCUGUCCGAGCGUCAUUUCAACCCUCGAACCCCUCCGGGGGGUCGGCGUUGGGGAUCGGGAACCCCUAAGACGGGAUCCCGGCCCCGAAAUACAGUGGCGGUCUCGCCGCAGCCUCUCAUGCGCAGUAGUUUGCACAACUCGCACCGGGAGCGCGGCGCGUCCACGCCUGUAAAACACCCAACGGAAGAAAUGUUGACCUCGGAUCAGGUAGGAAUACCCGCUGAACUUAAGCAGGGCAAUUUCCGA